GUCUAUGGCCAUACCACCCUGAAUGCACCCCAUCUCGUCUGAUCUCAGAAGCUAAGCAGGGUUGUGCCUGGUUAGUUCUUGGAUGGGAGACUCCCUGGGAAUACCAGGUGCUGUAGGCU
ensembl:rRNA 5S_rRNA 5S ribosomal RNA